AUUGAACGCUAGCGGCAGGCCUAACACAUGCAAGUCGAACGGAGUGGCGGACGGGUGAGUAAUGCCUCGGAAUCUGCCUGGUAGCGGGGGAUAACGACGCGAAACGGGCGCUAAUACCGCAUACUAUUGGAUGAGCCUAUGUCGGAUUAGCUAGUUGGUGGGGUAAAGGCCUACCAAGGCGACGAUCCGUAACUGGUCUGAGAGGAUGAUCAGUCACACUGGAAAUGAGAAACGGUCCAGACUCCCAAGGGAGGCAGGAGGGGGGAAUAUUGGAAAAGGGGGGAAAGCCUGAUCCAGCCAUGCCGCGUGGGUGAAGAAGGUCUUCGGAGUGGAAAGCAAUUUAAGGUGGGAGGCGGUACCAACAGAAUAAGCACCGGCUAACUUCGUGCCAGCAGCCGCGGUAAUAC
rnacentral:rRNA from 1 species